rnacentral:rRNA from 1 species
AGAAUCAACGCUGGCGGCGUGCCUAACACAUGCAAGUCGAACGAGAAAGUGGAGCAAUCCAUGAGUAAAGUGGCGCACGGGUGAGUAACACGUGACUAACCUACCCUUGAGUGGGGGAUAACCUAGAGAAAUCUGGGCUAAUACCGCAUAAUACCUUCGGGUCAAAGGAGCAAUUCGCUUAAGGAGGGGGUCGCGGCCGAUUAGUUAGUUGGCGGGGUAAUGGCCCACCAAGACUGUGAUCGGUAUCCGGCCUGAGAGGGCGCACGGACACACUGGAACUGAAACACGGUCCAGACUCCUACGGGAGGCAGCAGUGGGGAAUUUUGCGCAAUGGGGGAAACCCUGACGCAGCAACGCCGCGUGGAGGAUGAAGCCCCUUGGGGCGUAAACUCCUUUCGAUCGGGAAGAUAAUGACGGUACCGAGAGAAGAAGCCCCGGCUAACGUUCGUGCCAGCAGCCGC